AUUGAACGCUGGCGGCAGGCCUAACACAUGCAAGUCGAGCGGCAGCGGGAAAGUAGCUUGCUACUUUUGCCGGCGAGCGGCGGACGGGUGAGUAAUGCCUGGGAAAUUGCCCAGUCGAGGGGGAUAACAGUUGGAAACGACUGCUAAUACCGCAUACGCCCUACGGGGGAAAGCAGGGGACCUUCGGGCCUUGCGCGAUUGGAAAUGCCCAGGUGGGAUUAGCUAGUUGGUUAGGUAAUGGCUAACCAAGGCGACGAUCCCUAGCUGGUCUGAGAGGAUGAUCAGCCACACUGGAACUGAGACACGGUCCAGACUCCUACGGGAGGCAGCAGUGGGGAAUAUUGCACAAUGGGGGAAACCCUGAUGCAGCCAUGCCGCGUGUGUGAAGAAGGCCUUCGGGUUGUAAAGCACUUUCAGCGAGGAGGAAAGGUUGAUGCCUAAUACGUAUCAACUGUGACGUUACUCGCAGAAGAAGCACCGGCUAACUCCGUGCCAGCAGCCGCCGUAAGAC
rnacentral:rRNA from 1 species